GGAAGGGCUGUGGCUCAGUAGUAGAGCAUCUGCUUUGCAUGCAGAAGAUCAUAGGUUCACUUCCUGGCAUUUCCA
rnacentral:tRNA from 1 species